rnacentral:rRNA from 1 species
GAUCCUGGCUCAGGACGAACGCUGGCGGCGUGCCUAACACAUGCAAGUCGAGCGGAGACAGUGAGUAGCUUGCUAUGAGCUGUUUUAGCGGCGGACGGGUGAGUAACGCGUGAGCAACCUUUCCCAGACAGGGGAAUAACACACCGAAAGGUGUACUAAUACCGCAUAAGACCACGGAAUCACAUGGUUCUGGGGUAAAAGAAUUAUCGGUUUGGGGUGGGCUCGCUUCCGAUUAUGUAGUUGGUGAGGUAACCGG